rnacentral:lncRNA from 1 species
AUGUUGGUUAAAACCAUUAACCAAGCACAGUUAAUACAUCUGACCCUGGCUUGUACCUUUAAGACUGCCCACGCCACUUCUGCAGUGGAAAUCAAGGCCACAGUACACUAUUGGCAUACAAACAUGAAGAUUUAUGGUCUGACUAGAGAACUGGAAAAUGGAUUGGGCAGGUGGGGGCAGUUCCUCCAAGAUAGGAGAAUCUCAGGACAUCCUGGACGCCGGGGUCCUGAGAGGGGACCAGAGAGCUGCGCUCAAUACUGCAGAGCCAUCCAUCAAUGGAUCCAGGCUGAAGAAGGUCCUUGGAGGAGGAGAAAGGCUGAGAGUCCCAGGGGGCAGAGUUCUAGUCCUGCCUCUGACACUACCAAGCUGCAGGACCUUAGACCUCCAGUUCUGGGAUCUCACGCCCACUGGCCAUGA